rnacentral:rRNA from 1 species
UGACUCGUCACACUAUCAUUAACUGAAUCCAUAGGUUAAUGAGGCGAACCGGGGGAACUGAAACAUCUAAGUACCCCGAGGAAAAGAAAUCAACCGAGAUUCCCCCAGUAGCGGCGAGCGAACGGGGAGGAGCCCAGAGCCUGAAUCAGCAUGUGUGUUAGUGGAAGCGUCUGGAAAGGCGCGCGAUACAGGGUGACAGCCCCGUACACAAAAGCGCAUGUGCUGUGAGCUCGAUGAGUAGGGCGGGACACGUGGUAUCCUGUCUGAAUAUGGGGGGACCAUCCUCCAAGGCUAAAUACUCCUGACUGACCGAUAGUGAACCAGUACCGUGAGGGAAAGGCGAAAAGAACCCCGGCGAGGGGAGUGAAAAAGAACCUGAAACCGU